CAGCAGCCGCGGUAAGACAGAAGAUGCAAGCGUUAUCCGGAAUGAUUGGGCGUAAAGCGUCUGUAGGUGGCUUUUCAAGUCCACCGUCAAAUCCCAGGGCUCAACCCUGGACAGGCGGUGGAAACUACCAAGCUAGAGUACGGUAGGGGCAGAGGGAAUUUCCGGUGGAGCAGUGAAAUGCGUUGAGAUUGGUAAGAACACCAACGGCGAAAGCGCUCUGCUGGGCCGACACUGACACUGAGAGACGAAAGCUAGGGGAGCAAAUGGGAUUAGAUACCCCUGUAGUCCCUGUCUCUUAUAA
rnacentral:rRNA from 1 species